AGCUUUUUGAGUCCGUGCUGAGAUUUCGUCAGACACCAUCAACCCAUUAGGGUUGAUCAGACUUCCAAGAUAAGUGAAGUU
rfam:Schistosoma rodhaini strain Burundi genome assembly, scaffold: SROB_scaffold0013291